AAAGGAGAUGCUGGUAGAUUAAUUCUGAGAUCCCAUUACCUGUCUCCAUGGCACUGCUCACAAUUGCCAAGAUAGAGAACAAGUGCCCCUGUGACAGAUGAGAUGAAUGGAUAUAGAAGAUGUGACAUGUUUAUACACAAUGGGCUACUCAUUCAGCCAUAAACAAUAUGAAAUCUUGCCAUUUGCCACACAUGGAACAUCUUUAAGAAGAUUAUGCUCAGCAAGAUUCAGUUUUUUGUUUAACAAAACAUUUUUCUGGAGACAAGGUGCUGGUUGACGGACAGAGGACUGUUCCCACUG